rnacentral:rRNA from 1 species
UACAGAGGUCUCAAGCGUUGUUCGGAUUCAUUGGGCGUAAAGGGUGCGUAGGCGGCUCGGUAAGUCGGGUGUGAAAUCUUGGAGCUUAACUCCGAAACUGCAUUCGAUACUGCCGUGCUUGAGGACUGGAGAGGAGACUGGAAUUUACGGUGUAGCGGUGAAAUGCGUAGAUAUCGUAAGGAAGACCAGUGGCGAAGGCGGGUCUCUGGACAGGUCCUGACGCUGAGGCACGAAGGCCAGGGGAGCAAACGGG